rnacentral:rRNA from 1 species
GACAGAGGGUGCAAACGUUGCUCGGAAUUACUGGGCGUAAAGCGCGUGUAGGCGGACCACCAAGUCGGACGUGAAAGCCCUGAGCUCAACUCAGGAACUGCAUCCGAAACUGGCGGUCUGGAGUAGUGGAGAGGAAAGCAGAAUUCCUGGUGUAGAGGUGAAAUUCGUAGAUAUCAGGAGGAACACCGGUGGCGAAGGCGGCUUUCUGGACACUUACUGACGCUGAGACGCGAAAGCCAGGGGAGCAAACGGG